rnacentral:rRNA from 1 species
AGAGUUUGAUCCUGGCUCAGGAUGAACGCUGGCGGCGUGCUUAACACAUGCAAGUCGAGCGAAGCAUAUAAGCGGAAGUUUUCGGAUGGAAGCGUGUAUGACUGAGCGGCGGACGGGUGAGUAACGCGUGGGUAACCUGCCUCAUACAGGGGGAUAACAGUUAGAAAUGACUGCUAAUACCGCAUAAGCGCACAGGACCGCAUGGUCAAGUGUGAAAAACUCCGGUGGUAUGAGAUGGACCCGCGUCUGAUUAGCUGGUUGGUGAGGUAACGGCCCACCAAGGCGACGAUCAGUAGCCGACCUGAGAGGGUGGCCGGCCACAUUGGGACUGAGACACGGCCCAAACUCCUACGGGAGGCAGCAGUGGGGAAUAUUGCACAAUGGGGGAAACCCUGAUGCAGCAACGCCGCGUGAGUGAAGAAGUAUUUCGGUAUGUAAAGCUCUAUCAGCAGGGAAGAAGAAAGACGGUACCUGACUAAGAAGCCCCGGCUAACUACGUGCCAGCAGCCGCGGUAAUACGUAGGGGGCAAGCGUUAUCCGGAUUUACUGGGUGUAAAGGGAGCGUAGACGGCAUAGCAAGUCUGAAGUGAAAGCCCGUGGCUCAACCGCGGAACUGCUUUGGAAACUGUUAAGCUGGAGUACUGGAGAGGCAAGCGGAAUUCCUAGUGUAGCGGUGAAAUGCGUAGAUAUUAGGAGGAACACCAGUGGCGAAGGCGGCUUGCUGGACAGAGACUGACGUUGAGGCUCGAAGGCGUGGGGAGCAAACAGGAUUAGAUACCCUGGUAGUCCACGCGGUAAACGAUGAAUGCUAAGUGUUGGCGGGCAAGCCCGUCGGUGCCGCCGCAAACGCAUUAAGCAUUCCACCUGGGGAGUACGUUCGCAAGAAUGAAACUCAAAGGAAUUGACGGGGACCCGCACAAGCGGUGGAGCAUGUGGUUUAAUUCGAAGCAACGCGAAGAACCUUACCAAGUCUUGACAUCCCAAUGAAUGUCUGGUAAAGCAGGCAGACCUUCGGGACAUUGGAGACAGGUGGUGCAUGGUUGUCGUCAGCUCGUGUCGUGAGAUGUUGGGUUAAGUCCCGCAACGAGCGCAACCCUUAUCCUUAGUAGCCAGCGAGUGAAGUCGGGCACUCUAGGGAGACUGCCAGGGAGAACCUGGAGGAAGGUGGGGAUGACGUCAAAUCAUCAUGCCCCUUAUGAUUUGGGCUACACACGUGCUACAAUGGCGUAAACAAAGGGAAGCGAAGUGGCGACAUGGAGCGAACCCCAAAAAUAACGUCUCAGUUCGGAUUGUAGUCUGCAACUCGACUACAUGAAGCUGGAAUCGCUAGUAAUCGCGGAUCAGAAUGCCGCGGUGAAUACGUUCCCGGGUCUUGCACUCACCGCCCGUCA